rnacentral:rRNA from 1 species
AAUACUCCCUGGUGACCGAUAGCGGACUAGUACCGUGAGGGAAAGGUGAAAAGUACCCCGGGAGGGGAGUGAAAUAGUACCUGAAACCGUGCGCUUACAAUCCGUCAGAGCCUGUGCACACUUCGGUGUGGUGGGUGAUGGCGUGCCUUUUGAAGAAUGAGCCUGCGAGUUAGUGAUGCGUGGCGAGGUUAACCCGUGGUGGGGGAGUCGUAG